UUUUGGAGCUUGCUUCAGAGUUUCCUCCUCUUCCUGUGCAUAGGGAUUGGACAUAAAGUCUUUACUUAUACUGAGGAGCACUGUGAGACUGACUGCUCUUUGUGCUGAACUCAAGAGACAGCAAACGCAAUACUGGAUUUCUCUGAAUAACUUAAUCUGUUCAGCUUCUGCAGCAUCCUGGACUGGGGGAAUUCUAUGCUCAGUUCCUACCUUUUGGAUCAUAUCUCUAAUGACUUCCUUAUUGUAUCAUUAAAAUAGCUGUACUGUAUCAGGCUUGUGUCUUAUCUGGCUGGCAUUCUCUUUCUAAUGUCCCCAGUGGACACUUAAAAAGAACCAUUAUGAAACGAGAUUAUUGCUAUGGAAAAUUGUACUCCUAGCUUCAUUUAGUUAGCAU
rnacentral:lncRNA from 1 species